rnacentral:rRNA from 1 species
CGGCCGCGGUAUUUUGACCGUGCAAAGGUAGCGUAAUCACCUGUCUUUUAAAUAAAGACCUGUAUGAAUGGCAAGACGAGGGUUUUACUGUCUCCUCCCCCCAGUCAAUGAAAUUGAUCUACCCGUGCAGAAGCGGGUAUAAAAACAUAAGACGAGAAGACCCUAUGGAGCUUUAGGCAUAUAUCAAAUAUGUAAAAAACCAAAUUUUUCCAAAUAGGCCUAAAAAAUGAGAAAAACAAGUAUUAAUGAUUAAGUGCCUUCGGUUGGGGCGACCACGGGGAAAAAUAAAACCCCCACAUGGAAUGGGAAAAAUAACCCUAAGCCAAGAAAAACACUUCUAAGCAACAAAAUUUUUGACCAAUAAACGACCCAGGGACACCAUCCCUGAGCAAUGAACCAAGUUACCCUAGGGAUAACAGCGCAAUCCUUUCCCAGAGCCCAUAUCAACGAAAGGGUUUACGACCUCGAUGUUGGAUCAGGGCAUCCUAACGGUGCAGCCGCUGUUAAGGGUUCGUUU